rnacentral:rRNA from 1 species
GCGACCCCAGGAUGGGCGAGGUCACCCGCUGAGUUUAAGC